rnacentral:rRNA from 1 species
CCUACGGGAGGCAGCAGUAGGGAAUAUUGCUCAAUGGGGGAAACCAUGAAGCAGCAACGCCGCGUGGAGGAUGACGGCUCUACGAGUUGUAAACUGCUUUUGUACCGGGGUAAAAUGCUCUACGAGUAGGGUUUUGAAAGUACGGUACGAAUAAGGAUCGGCUAACUCCGUGCCAGCAGCCGCGGUAAUACGGAGGAUCCGAGCGUUAUCCGGAUUCAUUGGGUUUAAAGGGUGCGUAGGUUGUUUUAUAAGUUAGCGGUGAAAUACCGAUGCUCAACAUCGGGGCUGCCGCUAAUACUGUAGGACUAGAGAUCGGAUGCAGCAGGCGGAAUGUGUAGUGUAGCGGUGAAAUGCAUAGAUAGUACACAGAACACCGAUUGCGAAGGCAGCUUGCUAGGCCGGAUCUGACACUGAUGCACGAAAGCGUGGGGAUCGAACAGGAUUAGAUACCCUAGUAGUC